rnacentral:lncRNA from 1 species
UUUUGGAUUCAACUACAUAACCUUUAAAAUUUUUAUUUUAUUAUCUAAUUUUUUAAUUUAAUUGAUUUGUGCUUAUCAGUUAUUUUUUAAUUUAAAAUUUGAAUGUGUUAUUUAUUUUUACAUAUUUACUUAACAUAUUUUAUAUAAAUUUUAUAAUUAUAAAAUUAUUAAAAUAAAUAAUUAGCUUAAAUUUUGUAUCAAAAGAGUUAUUAAAUCACUUGAAUCAAACACAUUGAAGGAUUACGUAAUAAAAUUUAAAUUUUAAAAAUUAGACAGUCAUAUCAAAAUAAUUUAUAGAUCAAAUAAAUAUUAUAUAUUUCUAUCAAAAAAUCAAUUAUAACACUCAACGUCUCGACGAAGCUUCGUAGAUGAUUUAUGAAAAAUUAUAACUUUAAUUGUAGAUCAGUGGUUUCAUGGAUUCAUGCGUAGGGAUGUCAAUUGGUACGGAUAUCCAAAAUUUUAUUCAAAUCCGAACCCGAAUAGAGCUGAUAUAUUCAAUGCUAAACGGAUAUGGAUUCGAAUAUGAAUAUGAAAAAAAAAAAACAGCGGAUAUGAAUUCGGAUAUGGAUUUUGACUGUACCCGACGCAAACUAUAAAUUAUUUUGCAUUAUAUAUAAUAUAUAUAUAAAAAAAUUGAUGUUAUAUUUGAAUUUAUAUUUUAAAAUUUUAAAUUUAGUGUAAUAUAUUUUGAAAUAUUUAAAAAAUAAUUGUUUCGAAUUUGAAUUUUUGGAUUCGGAUUUGGAUUGCAAAUUUUUGGUUGGAUUCUAACUUGAAUUUAAAUUGUAAAAUUUGUCGGGUUUAAUGAGUCAAUUUUGGAUUCGAAUUUUUAAAAUUUUGUUCCGAAUCUAACCUGUAUUUUUAAAAUUCCGCCCGAAUCCGUCUCAUUG